UAUAAGUAGGUUUUGCCUCCUCUAACGGAGAGGUUUGGCUUCAUCCUCGUUCAACUUCACUGCCACAAGGGCAGCUGCAGCUCGCGGGAUGCAGAACUGCAGGAUCUGCUGGCAGGAGGAGUUCUAAAACAGAGCUCUGAAAAGCAUUGCAUAAAUAAAAGUUCUGCCCUCGUCAGUGCAAAAGUAUAUCAUGUGGCAGCUCCUCCACUGUUCGGUGGGAAUGGACACGGCAUGCCUAUGAGCAGAUAACAGCCUAUGAGUGGACCUGGGUAAGUGUGCUAAAUGGAAGCAAAGCCUAAACUGGAUUUUCACAUUUUAUUGGUCAAAACUAUUUACACGAGUUGAAAGGAUCUGAUCUGAACUUGAACUAUGUGCUGGAGCAAAUCGAAGAAGAGAGAGGGCCAAUUAGUGCAGUUU
rnacentral:lncRNA from 1 species